rnacentral:rRNA from 1 species
AGUGAACGCUGGCGGUAGGCCUAACACAUGCAAGUCGAACGGCAGCACAGUAAGAGCUUGCUCUUACGGGUGGCGAGUGGCGGACGGGUGAGGAAUACAUCGGAAUCUACUUUUUCGUGGGGGAUAACGUAGGGAAACUUACGCUAAUACCGCAUACGACCUACGGGUGAGAGCAGGGGAUCUUCGGACCUUGCGCGAUUGAAUGAGCCGAUGUCGGAUUAGCUAGUUGGCGGGGUAAAGGCCCACCAAGGCGACGAUCCGUAGCUGGUCUGAGAGGAUGAUCAGCCACACUGGAACUGAGACACGGUCCAGACUCCUACGGGAGGCAGCAGUGGGGAAUAUUGGACAAUGGGCGCAAGCCUGAUCCAGCCAUACCGCGUGGGUGAAGAAGGCCUCCGGGUUGUAAAGCCCUUUUGUUGGGAAAGAAAAGCAGCAGGUUAAUACCCCGCUGUUCUGACGGUACCCAAAGAAUAAGCACCGGCUAACUUCGU